rnacentral:tRNA from 1 species
UCCCUGGUGGCUCAGACAGUAAAGAAUCUGCCUGGAAGGCAGGAGACCCAGGUUUGAUCCCUGGGUUGGGAA